rnacentral:rRNA from 1 species
GGUGAACGCUAGCGGCGUGCCUUAAGCAUGCAAGUCGAACGGUGGUAGCAAUACUACAGUGGCGGACGGGUGAGUAACGCGUAGGAAUCUACCCUAAAGUGGGGGAUAACUCGCCGAAAGGCGAGCUAAUACCGCAUACGAUCAGGGAGCAGAUAUCAGUAAGCAGUUAGCAAUAGAAUCUUGGGAAAUUAGCUUUCUCAGAACUUUCUUGCCGCUCACGGCUGCCNGCUUUCUGUUCUCUGAUGAAAGCCCUUAACUGGGCGCUUUAGGAGGAGCCUGCGUCCCAUCAGCUUGCUGGUAGGGUAAAAGCCUACCAAGGCGACGACGGGUAGCUGGUCUGAGAGGACGACCAGCCANACUGGGACUGAGACACGGCCCAGACUCCUACGGGAGGCAGCAGGUGGGGAAUAUUGGACAAUGGGCGCAAGCCUGAUCCAGCGAUGCCGCGUGUGU